rnacentral:rRNA from 1 species
UACGUAGGUGGCGAGCGUUGUCCGGGUUUACUGGGCGUAAAGAGCGCGCAGGCGGUCGUUCAAGUCGCGUGUGAAAGCCCCCGGCUCAACUGGGGAGGGUCACGCGAUACUGAUCGACUCGAAGGCAGGAGAGGGAAGUGGAAUUCCCGGUGUAGUGGUGAAAUGCGUAGAUAUCGGGAGGAACACCAGUGGCGAAGGCGACUUCCUGGCCUGUUCUUGACGCUGAGGCGCGAAAGCUAGGGGAGCAAACGGG